UCUAUAAUGUAAGAAGAAAUAGGCAAAAGUCUCCAAUGAUGAAAACUGGAGAGAAUAAACAUAUAUGUGUAUAUAUGCAUAUGUGUGUGUAAUUGCCUGGUAUGCCGCGAUCGGCAUCUGUCGUUAGUUUUAAGUCUUUCGUAGGAGGCGAGCGUGUGCAGACGUGAACAGUUAUGGGCCCAGACACAUAUGGCGGUUAUUUAAUUUGUUCUUUGGUAAUAUUAAUAAAAUAAGUGCAAGUGUGGACUAGUGAAGUGGCUGUGCAAAGAGUUGCAGUGAAUAGAUAAAUAUUGUGAUUUAUAAUUUGCAUACCUGCAGACACACAUAAAAACAUAAACGUUUGAAUUUCACAAUAUUGCGUAUUGCGUAUUGCAUUUUACACACAGCGGGCAUUUCUUGGAACGUAGCUUGAACUGUACUUGGUUUGCUUGUUUGUGUGUAUACACAGUGAUAUAUGUACAUCCAGACGUUUUGUGGUUUUGCUACGCCGUUAUUCUUUGCUGAUCGAAAUGGAAAAACCAAAACGAAACAUAAAACCAUUCGACGGAGAUAAGUAUUCAACUUGGAAAUUUCGUGUUAAGUCUUUGUUAGAAGAAAGUGAAUUAUUAGAGGUAGUUGAGAAGGUGC